AUAGCAGGCAGUACAAACGACAGAAGUAGAAAGAAAGUCGCAGUCAGUCAGAAAAGCAAACGCAAUAAUUAUACUUGCUGAUUGCGAAGUUAUAGUGAUUGCGUACUUUGCAAUGAUCGUUUUUGAUAUUCAUUUAAUUUGGAACUUAUUCAUCCAGCAACAACAACAACACACAUAUAUACCUCGCGCAAAUAAAAUAACAACAAAUUCACUGACGAUGGGAACAAGGUCACCAGCAAGUUAUCGCUGCACAGAUGUAUUUUUCCUGUUCGCUGUCUUCUUAUCUGACUGCGCCUUGAAUUCAACACCGUUGGCUGCGGCUGCGCGCAGGAAACAAAAACAAAAAAUGCAACACUGUUAACAUAAAUAAAACCGCAAGACAGAGAAGAACAAACAGGCGCACAAAACAAAGUAAAAAAUUACAAAAAAAAAAUUACGACAACGUCAAGAACAACAUUCAAACAAAUUGCAUUCAUAUAAAAACAAAUUAAUAACAACAACAGCAGACAAAAGCUGCGCUGUUUCUUACAGACAAUAAAAAUGCUUUAUUGUAAAAUCA